rnacentral:rRNA from 1 species
UUCGGAUCUAGUGGCGGACGGGUUAGUAACGCGUGGGAACGUACCCUUCACUACGGAAUAGUCCCGGGAAACUGGGUUUAAUACCGUAUACGCCCUUCGGGGGAAAGAAUUUCGGUGAGGGAUCGGCCCGCGUUAGAUUAGUUAGUUGGUGGGGUAAUGGCCUACCAAGACUACGAUCUAUAGCUGGUUUGAGAGGAUGAUCAGCAACACUGGGACUGAGACACGGCCCAGACUCCUACGGGAGGCAGCAGUGGGGAAUCUUAGACAAUGGGGGCAACCCUGAUCUAGCGAUGCCGCGUGAGUGAUGAAGGCCUUAGGGUCGUAAAGCUCUUUCGCCUGUGAUGAUAAUGACAGUAGCAGGUAAAGAAACCCCGGCUAACUCCGUGCCAGCAGCCGCGGUAAUACGGAGGGGGUUAGCGUUGUUCGGAAUUACUGGGCGUAAAGCGCACGUAGGCGGAUUAGUCAGUCAGAGGUGAAAUCCCAGGGCUCAACCCUGGAACUGCCUUUGAUACUGCUAGUCUUGAGUUCGAGAGAGGUAAGUGGAAUUCCGAGUGUAGAGGUGAAAUUCGUAGAUAUUCGGAGGAACACCAGUGGCGAAGGCGGCUUACUGGCUCGAUACUGACGCUGAGGUGCGAAAGUGUGGGGAGCAAACAGGAUUAGAUACCCUGGUAGUCCACACCGUAAACGAUGAAUGCCAGUCGUCGGGUAGCAUGCUAUUCGGUGACACACCUAACGGAUUAAGCAUUCCGCCUGGGGGAGUACGGUCGCAAGAUUAAAACUCAAAGGAAUUGACGGGGGCCC